rnacentral:rRNA from 1 species
GAUGAACGCUGGCGGCGUGCUUAACACAUGCAAGUCGAGCGAAGCACUUAUGAAAGAUUCUUCGGAUGAUUUCAUUUGUGACUGAGCGGCGGACGGGUGAGUAACGCGUGGGUAACCUGCCUCAUACAGGGGGAUAACAGUUGGAAACGACUGCUAAUACCGCAUAAGCGCACAGUACCGCAUGGUACCGUGUGAAAAACUCCGGUGGUAUGAGAUGGACCCGCGUCUGAUUAGCUAGUUGGUGGGGUAACGGCCUACCAAGGCGACGAUCAGUAGCCGACCUGAGAGGGUGAUCGGACACAUUGGGACUGAGACACGGCCCAAACUCCUACGGGAGGCAGCAGUGGGGAAUAUUGCACAAUGGGGGAAACCCUGAUGCAGCAACGCCGCGUGAGUGAAGAAGUAUUUCGGUAUGUAAAGCUCUAUCAGCAGGGAAGAAAAUGACGGUACCUGACUAAGAAGCCCCGGCUAACUACGUGCCAGCAGCCGCGGUAA